UACGUAGGGGGCAAGCGUUGUCCGGAUUUAUUGGGCGUAAAGAGCGUGUAGGCGGCCAGGUAGGUCUGCUGUGAAAACUCGAGGCUUAACCUCGAGCUGUCGGCGGAAACCAUCUGGCUAGAGUCCGGAAGAGGAGAAUGGAAUUCCCGGUGUAGCGGUGAAAUGCGCAGAUAUCGGGAAGAACACCCGUGGCGAAGGCGGUUCUCUGGGACGGUGCUGACGCUGAGACGCGAAAGCGUGGGGAGCGAACAGG
rnacentral:rRNA from 1 species